AUGCGACAAUUGAUAUCAACUGACAAUACAUUCUUUUAUCUAGGUGAAAACUAUAUUGUUGCCUCGUACCCAAUGUUCCAUAAGUGAACUACUCGAAUCUAUCGAUUCUUUCAAACUUGCAUCAACAAACUCUAUUUUAUUUUUCAUGUAGAACAUACAUUUCAUUGAUUAUUUCCAAGUGUGAUAGUUGUUAUGAAUUAAGCAACU
rnacentral:lncRNA from 1 species